rnacentral:tRNA from 1 species
AAUAAGGUGCCUGAUUAAAAGGUUUAUUUUGAUAGAAUAAUUUAUGUAUAUAUUUAUACCUUUAUUG